rnacentral:rRNA from 1 species
GACGAACCGUGCAAACGGUUGUUCGGAAUCACUGGGCUUAAAGGGCGCGUAGGCGGCUUGCCAAGUCAGGGGUGAAAUCUUUCGGCUUAACCGGAAAAGUGCCGUCCUGAUACUGGCGAGCUAGAGGGAGGUAGGGGCAUGUGGAACUUCCGGUGGAGCGGUGAAAUGCGUUGAUAUCGGAAGGAACGCCGGUGGCGAAAGCGACGUGCUGGAUCUCUUCUGACGCUGAGGCGCGAAAGCUAGGGGAGCGAACGGG